UCUCGAUUUCAUUUGAACACGUACGAUAUAAUUUGACAAUUUUUAGUAACGCCAUCAAAAAGCUUCAAAAUUGAUUAUUUUUGCGGUCGAAUUUCGAAAUUUCUGCUUCUUAACCUGAAUUGAAAUGGUUUGUGGUGGUUGCAUUGAUAAUAUGUGCGGUUAUUGGCCAGAGGGGCCUUUAGUACCUUAUUGCGGGCUUGGACAACCUCGUUUUAGGGGAAAAGCAUGUUACCGUCGCAAGAAUUAUAUCUCAAGAGAUCACCAUUCUCCCUGUUGCUACGAUUCUAGGAUAUGUCCCAGCUAUAUUGCAAAGAUUAUUUCAAGAAUUGAUCAAUUUUCUCGUUAUGGAACGAAGAUUUUUGCCUGAAAAGAAAAUUUGUUGUUCUGACACAGAUACAAUUAAUGAUGGCAGUUAUGAUACAGAUACAUUGAACGAUGACGAUGAUUAUGAGUAUUUGGAGAAUCUCAAAAUGAUGAGCGAUGUCAGUCAAGCAUUUUAUAUUCAAAUGAUCCUAAAGAAGCAUACCAACAAAUGCUUUCGAAGCAAUUUGAUAGGAUGUUAACAAUUUAUG